CCGCCUCAGUAGGGAUCGAGGGUUGCAACUCGCCCUCGUGAACGCGGAAUCCCUAGUAACCGCGCGUUAACACCGCGCGGUGAAUACGUCCCCGCUCCUUGCACACACUGCCCAUCGCUCCACCCGAGCUGGGUUUGGGUGAGGGCCGCUCGAGUUGGGCGGUUCGAACCCGAACCCGGUGAGGGGGGAGAAGUUGUAACAAGGUAGCCGCACCGGAAGGUGUGGCUGGAUCACCUCCC
rnacentral:rRNA from 1 species